UCUUCCUUGUCACCCUUACUUAUUUCUAUUAUUUACAAUAAAACUAAUUAUAUUUUUCCAAUAACAUCUGUUUAGUAAAAUAAACAGAAGUACAAUGAAAGAUUCUUUUUCUUUUGUUCAAGGCCCGUUUGAUAAAAUGAUGCUUCGCAGACUGAAUCUGGGCACAUACCGCGGCAAAACUGGUGCGCUACUGAGCUCUGCAGAAGCAUGAGCACACAGCGGUCUAUGAGAAUGGCAGCCCUGACGUCGUGCAGUGGCCACAUGGAAACAUCUGUCACAUCCAAGGUAGUUUCCACCAGCUUCUCCUCCCACACACUUCAGGACUCCCUCCCCUGUCCUCACAACAGACAAGCAAAAAUGAAAGAAAAUUAAUACCGUGAUGCUGCUGGUCUGCAUGAAAUCACCAUGAUUAUCCUUUUCUAAUCAGAUGGGAGUAAUUUUCUUGCUCUUCACCUGACUAAUUUUUUCCACUCUUUCCUCCCUCCCAUCAGGUAUCAAGCUGCUAAAUGUUUACAGAUUAAUUUGCAUGAAAUAGUCCCAUAGAAACAAUCACUCACUGGAUCAAGUUCCUCUGCUGUUUGAAAUGCAUGCUUUUUUUUCAAGCGAUACAUCAGUUUUAAAUAAAGAUUUACAGCUGAAAAUAAAAUUAAACCAUUUUGUGAAAACGUGAUGAUUACAGUGAUAAAAGUAUUUUCAAAACUCUCAGAUACUGGGGUUGAUUACUGCAAAUACAAUUGCAGCCUGCCGUCACAACAGAGCAUCCAGGUCGCCACAGCCUCUGCCUAUCUCUCGAGAGCCCUGACUCCCCUAUUCCGUAGGACGAAGUAACCGAUGACAGCAGGAGUGACAGGGAGUAAAAGUUCAUGAUGUAACCAGACGGGCACUUUCUACUACUGAUGGUUUCUACGAUUUUGUGAAAGAAAAAGAGAGCAUUCACUUCCAGCUCUGUCAAAUCACUAUUACUCUGCUAACUGAACCUGCCGAUGGAUUGUGACCUAAAAGUGUAGUCCAUAGGAGGGUUCUGGAGGACGCUGGAGCAGGCGCACACCCCGCAUCCCCUUCCCAUACAUACAGUUGGGCAAGCUAAUUACUUAUGAGGAAGAAAGGGAUGUGCUGGGGCUGCCAGAGAUUCUCGGACUGUACCUCCCACCCCAGUGCACCAGCAAUGGCUUCUCAACCUUAGCACCUUUGAAAUGUGCUGGUCACCAGCCACAAUGUCCUUUCCGUGGUCCUCCCUAAUACGCUUUUGCUUGCACACGAUUCCCAGAAAACUAGAGAUUAAAGGACAGUUGUUGUAAUGUGCUUGUUUUCCACUUAACUGAUUUAGUGGCCAAAAUGCUAAUAUUUCAAAAUAAGUAAAGUUCCAUGCAAUUGUCCUGAUUUCUAAGGAACAGGUUAGUUACCUUUCUGAUUAGAGUCAUGAGAUUUAUUUGGAACAGAUUUAGUAUUUGAACCCUAGUGGCCUAAGCCUUUAUUUCUUCACUAACCCGAAAGAUCAGACUCUACCAAGAAAAGCUUGCUUAUUCACCAGUGCUGUUUCAGUGUCACAAGUUGCUCCAGGAAACAGCGGGGGUGGGGGCUGCUAACCCUGAUAUUGUUCGGUGUCACUGUAGCCGCUCUUCCGGAUGUUUACAGUAGCUGUGGGACUCGGCACUCCACGGCAGUCAGGCUCACAUAAAAUUAACCUUCACACUAUUAUUUUAACAUAUGCAUGAAAUACUCAGCCCUAGAAACAUCUGCAUUCUCU
ensembl:lincRNA